GCCACGGUUGUCUAGCGGUUAGAACGCUGGCCUUGUAAUCCUGGGGUCUCGGGUUCGAUUCCCGGCGGUGCCC
rfam:Zootermopsis nevadensis contig30312, whole genome shotgun sequence.